GGGCAGCAGAUCCUUUUGUGGAAGUAUUCUUUGAAAGUAAUGUGAAAAAUGAGAAAAACUGAACUUAUAAUUGAGUCAUUAUUGAAACAAUUAUUGCUGAAUGGAUUGAUGAACUGUCUCUGCUAAAUGCCCCAAUAUAGGUAAAGGUCGUAUUAUACUUUGACCGCCUUACACGCAAGUAAUAUGGUAUGUUCAAUCUGUGAAUGUUGCUACUAUUCAUCCAGUAAGUGUUAAGUUAAAACACCUACUCAACGUUAAUUAUAGUACCGGUAAGUUCCAGUUUUUGAUAAAAAUACAAUUUUAACUAAUACGGUAUGUGUUUAUAAAAUUAUGAUAUAUAUAAAGCAAAAAGAUAUCAAUUAUAUCAACCAUGGACGAAAUAUAGAGAAAAAAAUUGUAAAAAUAAUGAAAACAAUUAUGAGCAAUACUCGUCACUCGCUAAAUUCAUACACCUUUCUCAGAUCUGGUAAACGACGAAAAAUAAUUUGAUGUAGAAUUUUUGCCAUCUUCUUGUGAGAAUUUACAAUGGGUCUAAUUUUUUGUUUUAGGUUCCAGAAUGUCCGUAAUAUAUAGUUUUGCUAGGGCUAUUCAGGUCAUCAGGACCUCAGUAGUAAUGUCCCCCACGUAUGAAUGCAUAGUUCGGUUAGGAUAGGGGUAUGUGUGUCAUUAGGACCUUAGUGGAGUAAUGCCCCUACCCCAUAAUUCAGAAUUUGGUUAAGGUUGGGGUAUGCAUGUCAUUAGGACCUGAGUGGAGGGAGUACCAUCCCUAUGCCAGAAUAAAUAUUUUGGUUAGGGUUGGGGCAUGCAGGUCAUAUCUUAGUGGAGUAACGGGGCCCCCUCCCCCAGAAUGCAUAGUUCGGUUAGGGUCGGCAGUGGCGGAUUUAGGGAGGUAAAAAAAAA